UUCCUACGGGGGGCAGCAGUGGGGAAUAUUGGGCAAUGGGCGCAAGCCUGACCCAGCAACGCCGCGUGAAGGAAGACGGUUUUCGGAUUGUAAACUUCUGUUCUUAGUGAAGAAAAAUGACGGUAGCUAAGGAGCAAGCCACGGCUAACUACGUGCCAGCAGCCGCGGUAAUACGUAGGUGGCAAGCGUUGUCCGGAAUUACUGGGUGUAAAGGGAGCGCAGGCGGGAAGCCAAGUCAGCUGUGAAAACUACGGGCUUAACUUGUAGACUGCAGUUGAAACUGGGUUUCUU
rnacentral:rRNA from 1 species